rnacentral:rRNA from 1 species
AGGACGAACGCUGGCGGCGUGCUUAACACAUGCAAGUCGAGCGGAAAGGCCCUUCGGGGUACUCGAGCGGCGAACGGGUGAGUAACACGUGAGUAAUCUGCCCCUAGCUCUGGGAUAGCUCCGGGAAACCGGGAUUAAUACCGGAUACGACCACUACGGACAUCUGUGGUGGUGGAAAGAACUUCGGCUAGGGAUGAGCUCGCGGCCUAUCAGCUUGUUGGUGGGGUAACGCCUACCAAGGCGACGACGGGUAGCCGGCCUGAGAGGGCGACCGGCCACACUGGGACUGAGACACGGCCCAGACUCCUACGGGAGGCAGCAGUGGGGAAUAUUGGACAAUGGGCGCAAGCCUGAUCCAGCCAUGCCGCGUGAGUGAUGACGGCCUUAGGGUUGUAAAGCUCUUUCGCUCGGGACGAUAAUGACGGUACCGAGAUAAGAGCCCCGGCUAACUUCGCGCCAGCAGCCGC